UACGGGGGGGGCUAGCGUUGUUCGGAAUUACUGGGCGUAAAGGGCUCGUAGGUGGCCAACUAAGUCAUGCGUGAAAUCCCUCGGCUUAACCGGGGAACUGCGUCUGAUACUGGAUGGCUUGAAUCCGGGAGAGGGAUGCGGAAUUCCAGGUGUAGCGGUGAAAUGCGUAGAUAUCAGGAGGAACACCAGCGGCGAAGGCGGUGCUCUGGGCCGGAACUGACGCUGAGGAGCGAAAGUGUGGGGAGCGAACAGG
rnacentral:rRNA from 1 species